UUUUUCUUUAGCCGGCCCUGUUGUGUUGUGUCUGUGUAGUCAUCCUUCUCAAAAUGUUCCCUGCAAAUGCGGUGAUCUUUGUCACGUAGUACUUGUAUGGGAGUUUGCACAUUUUGUCCUUUUU